CUGCUAUCGGAUUGAUACUAAGCCAUGCGAGUCAUUGUAGCAAUACAAGGCAGACGGCUCAGUAACGCGUAGUCAACCUACCCUAUGGACGGGAAUAACCUCGGGAAACUGAGUAUAAUGCCCGAUAGAACAUUAUGCCUGGAAUGGUUUAUGUUCCAAAUGAUUUAUCGCCGUAGGAUGGGACUGCGGCCUAUCAGUUUGUUGGUGAGGUAAUGGCCCACCAAGACUAUUACAGGUACGGGCUCUGAGAGGAGUAGCCCGGAGAUGGGUACUGAGACACGGACCCAGGCCCUAUGGGGCGCAGCAGGCGAGAAAACUUUGCAAUGUGCGAAAGCACGACAAGGUUAAUCCGAGUGGUUUCUGCUAAAGGAACCUUUUGUUAGUCCUAAAAACACUAACGAAUAAGGGGUGGGCAAGUUCUGGUGUCAGCCGCCGCGGUAAAACCAGCACCUCAAGUGGUCAGGAUGAUUAUUGGGCCUAAAGCAUCCGUAGCCUGCUCUGUAAGUUUUCGGUUAAAUCUGUAUGCUCAACAUACAGGCCGCCGGAAAUACUGCAGGGCUAGGGAGUGGGAGAGGUAGACGGUACUCGGGAGGAAGGGGUAAAAUCCUUUGAUCUAUUGAUGACCACCUGUGGCGAAGGCGGUCUACCAGAACACGUUCGACGGUGAGGGAUGAAAGCUGGGGGAGCAAACCGGAUUAGAUACCCGGGUAGUCCCAGCUGUAAACGAUGCAGACUCGAUGAUGCAUUGGCAUAAUAGCCAGUGCAGUGUCGCAGGGAAGCCGUUAAGUCUGCCGCCUGGGAAGUACGUACGCAAGUAUGAAACUUA
rnacentral:rRNA from 1 species